rnacentral:rRNA from 1 species
UACGUAGGGGGCAAGCGUUGUCCGGAAUCAUUGGGCGUAAAGCGCGUGUAGGCGGCUCGAUAAGUCUGCUGUGAAAGUCCAGGGCUCAACCCUGGGAUGCCGGUGGAUACUGUCGAGCUCGAGUCCGGAAGAGGCGAGUGGAAUUCCUGGUGUAGCGGUGAAAUGCGCAGAUAUCAGGAGGAACACCAAUGGCGAAGGCAGCUCGCUGGGACGGUACUGACGCUCAUGCACGAAAGCGUGGGGAGCAAACAGG